CCUACGGGAGGCUGCAGUGAGGAAUAUUGGUCAAUGGCCGUAAGCCUGAACCAGCCAAGUAGCGUGAGGGAUGACUGCCCUAUGGGUUGUAAACUUCUUUUAUGCGGGGAUAAAGGUGUCCACGUGUGGAUGUUUGCAGGUACCGCAUGAAUAAGGACCGGCUAAUUCCGUGCCAGCAGCCGCGGUAAUACGGAGGGUCCGGGCGUUAUCCGGAUUUAUUGGGUUUAAAGGGAGCGUAGGCCGGUCUUUAAGCGUGCCGUGAAAUUUUGUGGCUCAACCAUGAACGUGCAGUGCGAACUGGCGGCCUUGAGUGCGCGGAAGGCAGGCGGAAUUCGUGGUGUAGCGGUGAAAUGCUUAGAUAUCACGAAGAACCCCGAUUGCGAAGGCAGCCUGCCGCAGCGUUACUGACGCUGAUGCUCGAAAGCGCGGGUAUCGAACAGGAUUAGAUACCCCAGUAGUC
rnacentral:rRNA from 1 species